rnacentral:lncRNA from 1 species
UCAGCUUCUUCCUUUUCGAAAAUACAUACUGCAUUUUAUCCAUGUCUCCUUCAGAACUGAGCAAUUUAUGAAGGCUUUACCCAGACUGGAAAGGAAUGAAGAUGUCACAGGGGUUCUGCUUUAAGGAAUCCGAAGCUCUGGUGUCAGCAGAAUUGAUGAGCUCUGCCCCUGGGGAACACCAACACAACUUCAUUGAAAGAGUUACAGGGAUUUCAUGUUUCGGAGGAAUUAUAUACAGAGGUUUCUGUUUGAAGUGAAAACUGAAGACCCACAACUCCCCAAAAUGAUGAGGAAAAGAAGAAAAGGCUGUAAAAAAUGGGAAAUCUUGAAUACCACAGUAUGUGUAUCUCAGCCUGCUGGCUGAGCAUGCCAAGAAAAUAUAAAAGUUCUUGAAAAGGAAGUCAAAGGAGACACCUUGGAGCCUGUGUUUCAUCAGACUGGGACAUUAGGGAAAUCUAAGGAAAAU